GACGAGCGCUGGCGGCGUGCUUAACACAUGCAAGUCGAACGGAAAGGCCCGGGUUGUGUUGGGGGCUCGAGUGGCGAACGGGUGAGUAACACGUGAGUAACCUGCCCUUGACUUUGGGAUGUCAUCAGGAAACUCGGGCUAAUACCGAAUAGGAUAUCCUGCAGCAUGGUUGCGGCUGGAAAGUUUCGGCGGUUGGGGAUGGACUCGCGGCUCAUCAGCAUGUUGGUGGGGUAGUGGCUUACCAGGGCUUUGGCGGGUAGCCGGCCUGAGAGGGUGACCGGCCACAUUGGGACUGAGAUACGGCCCAGACUCCUACGGGCGGCAGCAGUGGGGAAUAUUGCACAAUAGGCGGAAGCCUGAUGCAGCGACGCCGCGUGCGUGAUGACGGCCUUCGGGUGGUAAACCGCUUUCGCAUGUGACGAAGAGUGAGUGACGGUAAUGGGUAAAGAAGCACCGGCUAACUACGUG
rnacentral:rRNA from 1 species